UACGAAGGGUGCAAGCGUUAAUCGGAAUUACUGGGCGUAAAGGGUGCGUAGGCGGUUCGUUAAGUCUGUCGUGAAAUCCCCGGGCUCAACCUGGGAAUGGCGAUGGAUACUGGCGAGCUAGAGUGUGUCAGAGGAUGGUGGAAUUCCCGGUGUAGAGGUGAAAUUCGUAGAUAUUGGGUGGAACACCGGUGGCGAAAGCGGCUCUCUGGUCCGGACCUGACGCUGAGGCGCGAAAGCGUGGGGAGCAAACAGG
rnacentral:rRNA from 1 species